rnacentral:lncRNA from 1 species
AUGAGGGGAAAAUAAAAGAGACAGAGGAAGAAUGGAUCUUCAGAUGAAAAGAAAGAUAUGUGGAGUUUACUUGUAAUAUGAUGGAGGUGGUGGUGACUUAUACAUAUAUGGGGGUGGAGAUUCAUACUUGUAUGGAGGAGGUGGUGGUGACUUGUACACAUAUGGAGGUGGAGGUGGUGACUUGUACACAUAUGGGGGUGGAGGUGGUGACUUGUACUCGUAUGGAGGAGGUGGUGGUGACUCGUACUUGUAUGGAGGGGGAGGUGGUGACUCAUACUUGUAUGGAGGAGGUGGUGGUGACUUGUACACGUAUGGGGGUGGAGGUGGAGACUCAUACUUGUAUGGAGGUGGAGGUGGUGAUUUGUACACAUAAGGAGGAGGAGGUGGUGACUCAUACUUGUAUGGAGGAGGUGGUGGUGACUUGUACACAUAUGGGGGUGGAGGUGGUGACUUGUACUUGUAUGGAGGAGGAGAUGGUGACUCAUACUUGUAUGGAGGUGGAGGUGGUGACUCAUACUUGUAUGGAGGAGGUGGUGGUGACUUGUACACGUAUGGGGGUGGAGGUGGAGACUCAUACUUGUAUGAAGGUGGAGGUGGUGAUUUGUACACAUAAGGAGGAGGAGGUGGUGACUCAUACUUGUAUGGAGGAGGUGGUGGUGACUUGUACUUGUAUGGAGGAGGUGGUGGUGACUCAUACUUGUAUGGAGGAGGUGGUGGUGACUUGUACACGUAUGGAGGUGGAGGUGGAGACUCAUACUUGUAUGGAGGAGGUGGUGGUGACUUAUACACAUAUGGGGGAGGAGGUGGCGACUCAUACUUGUAUGGAGGAGGUGGUGGCGAGUUGUACAUGUACGGGGGUGGAGGCGGAGACUUAUACUUAUAUGGAGGAGGUGGUGGUGACUUGUACAUAUAUGGAGGUGGAGGUGGUGACUCGUGCUUAUAUGACAGAGGUGGUAAUGACUUGUACGUAUAUGGAGGUGGAGGUGAUGACUCGUACUUAUAUGGCGGAAGCAAUG